rnacentral:lncRNA from 10 species
UAUUCGUCCUUAUAUUCAAAAGCCACAGGUGGCCUGAGAGGUCAAAGGCUGCGGGAUUUGAACCUGGAACCGAAUGGUGGCCUGCAAUGAACCCGCCUACCGCCUCAGGCGUUCGCUUCACUCCAGGCUGCUGGCGCUGGAAAGUUUAACUUUAUUAUCAAAGGGGAAAUUGAAAAGUGACUUCUGCAAAUCCCAAGAUGGGGUUUCACCAGCAACUUCUAGGGUGGGAAACCAAAAGUGAGGUGGAGAAAAGAGCUAGGAAAUCAAUUGAAAAAAAAAAAAAAGAAAGAAAGAAAACAAAAAAGAUACACGCGGGAUUAAAUAAACUAAGAGGCUCGCCGGUGGAAUUCUAUAUCUGGGGUUUGAAACCGAGAGGGUCCCUCUACCUUUGGCCAUCUGGCUGUUUUAAACUCUGCCC